rnacentral:rRNA from 1 species
GAUGAACGCUGGCGGCGUGCUUAACACAUGCAAGUCGAACGAUGAAGCCCAGCUUGCUGGGUGGAUUAGUGGCGAACGGGUGAGUAACACGUGAGUAACCUGCCCUUGACUCUGGGAUAAGCCUGGGAAACUGGGUCUAAUACUGGAUAUGACUUCUCAUCGCAUGGUGGGGGGUGGAAAGAUUUAUUGGUCUUGGAUGGACUCGCGGCCUAUCAGCUUGUUGGUGAGGUAAUGGCUCACCAAGGCGACGACGGGUAGCCGGCCUGAGGGGGUGACCGGCGACACUGGGACUGAGACACGGCCCAGACUCCUACGGGAGGCAGCAGUGGGGAAUAUUGCACAAUGGGCGCAAGCCUGAUGCAGCGACGCCGCGUGAGGGAUGACGGCCUUCGGGUUGUAAACCUCUUUCAGUAGGGAAGAAGCGGGAGUGACGGUACCUGCAGAAGAAGCGCCGGCUAACUACGUG